ACCGUGUCCACCAUGGCCUGGUCCCCUCUGCUCCUCACCCUGGGCGCUCUCUGCACAGGAUCCUGGGCCCAGGCUGUGCUGACUCAGCCGCCCUCCGUGUCCGGGUCCCCGGGCCAGAGUGUCUCCAUCACCUGCACUGGAAGCAGCAGCAACAUCGGGGGUGGUAAUUAUGUGAGCUGGUACCAACAGCUCCCAGGAUCAGCCCCCAAACUCCUCAUCUAUUGUACUAGCAGUCGACCCUCGGGGGUCCAGGACCGAUUCUCCGGCUCCAGGUCUGGCAACACGGCCACCCUGACCAUCAGCUCGCUCCAGGCUGAGGACGAGGCCGAUUAUUACUGUGCAACUUAUGAAAGUAGCAGCUAUAAUGGCACAGUGCUCCAGGCCAGGGGGGAACCUGUGCUGACACAGCCGCCCUGUGCAUCUGCCUCCCUGGGAGCCUCGGCCAAGCUCAGCUGCACCCUGAGCAGCGGCUACAGCAGCUACUAUGUGGGCUGGCACCAGAAGAACGUCCCGGAGGAGGACGAGGCUGACUACAUCUGUGGGGCAGACCAUGGCAGUGGGAGCAGCUUCGUGUAA